rnacentral:rRNA from 1 species
UACGUAGGGGGCAAGCGUUUGUCCGGAAUCAUUGGGCGUAAAGCGCGCGUAGGCGGCCCGGUAAGUCCGUUGUGAAAGUCAAAGGCUCAACCUUUGAACGCCGAUGGAUACUGCCGGGCUAGAGUCCGGAAGAGGCGAGUGGAAUUCCUGGUGUAGCGGUGAAAUGCGUAGAUAUUGGGAGGAACACCGGUGGCGAAGGCGGCCACCUGGGCC